UUCGCAAUGCCCGAAAGGGUGACGAAGCGACGCCUAGUGUGGGAAGAAGGCCUUCGGGUUGUAAAUCACUGUCGGGAGUUAAGAAAUGUAAGGGUGUUAAUAGCGCCUUUACUUGACAAAGGCUCCGGAGGAAGCCAUAUCUAACUCUGUCCCAGCAGCCGCGGUAAUUCAGAGGCGGCAAGCGUUGUUCGGAAUUAUUGGGCGUAAAGAGCACUUAGGCGGCUAUGCAAGUCAGUUGUCAAAGCCUUCCCAUUACCGGAAGAACAGCAGUUGAUCCCACAGAUCUUGAGUACGGGAGGGGAGAGUGGAACUUCUGGUGGAGCGGUGAAAUGCGUAGAUAUCAGAAGGAACGCCGGCGGCGAAAGCGAUUCUCUGGUCCGACACCGACGCUGAGUGUGCGGAAGGUCGGGGAUCAACCGGGAUUAGAUCCUCCGGUAGUCCUAGCCGUAAACGAUGGGCACUAAGUAGAGGGGUUUU
rnacentral:rRNA from 1 species